GCAAGCUCACCAUUCUCAUCACCUUCACCUCAAGAUGAAGGAAAACCUUUUGCUGAAAGGGAUUGGCGUUCAUUUCGAGCUCGAUUAGUUGCCGGAGAACGAGCUUCCCGGUCGGAAGAUCCCUCUUCCGUCGUCAAUCCCGACACCGUCGACGAUCUUCCGCCACCUCCGGCCGUCACAAUUGGCAGCAAAUGGGCCCACACAAUUCACGAACCAGAAAAGGGCUGCUUGCUGAUUGCCACUGAGAAGCUACAAGGAGAUAAUAUUUUUGAGCGGACUGUAGUUCUCUUGUUGUCAUUGGGGUUCAUCCCAACGGGCUUAAUUCUCAAUAGGCCUUCGCUUAUGUCCAUUAAGGAAAUGAGAUCAUCAGCGUUGGACAUGCCCGGGACGUUCGCGAAUAGGCCGUUGUUCUUUGGUGGGCCAUUAGAAGAAGGGCUUUUUUUGGUGAGCCCAAAUGAAGGAAGUGAAGAUGGGCUUGGGAAAAGUGGAGUUUUUGAUGAAGUAAUGAAGGGUUUGUAUUAUGGUACAAAGGAAAGUGUGGGUUGUGCUUCUGAAAUGGUGAAAAGGGGUGCAGUUGGGGUUGAUAAUUUUAGGUUUUUCGAUGGGUAUUGUGCAUGGAAAAGAGAUCAACUAAGGGAUGAGAUUAAAGCUGGUUAUUGGACAGUAGCAGCAUGUAGUCCAAGUGUAAUUGGGCUGUCUGAUGUUGGAAGUGUUGGGCUUUGGGAUGAAGUUCUUGGGCUUAUGACCCCGAAGAAAGUCUGGUAAGGUGAACUGAUAUUGGUAUAAUUUGGAUAAUUUCUGAUGUUCUCACUUGUAAAGAGAGGGUAUGAGUUUGAACUUGUGAGAUAGAUUGUAAAUUCUUAUGCAUUAAAUAUGAGUUUUUGACUAAUUAAAGGUUGAAGACCUGACUUGUAUGCUUGCCACAAUUAAUACUUAUCCUAUUCUGUUUUGGGCAUGCAAUUUAGAAUCAAAAACAUUAUCAAGCCGUUGUACUUUUGAAAGGUGGGGUGUCACGACAUUCAGACUUUCCUAUUGAAUAUAUUCAACAAAAUUUCAACUUCAAAUCAAUUGAUUUCAAAGUCUUGAUUUCAUAUCAGAUAUCUAAGCGGCCCUUAAUGUCUACUCGCAACAUAUUUAUUUCAUGUUAUUCUUUGAAUGUCAACGGAUACGUGUCGGAUUCUCUAAAAAUAGUGUAUUUUGGAGAAUCCAACAUGGGUACCGCACCGAAAGUGAAGAUAAACCUGCAUGUUGCAUAGAGUAGUAGAUGUUAUUGUAUCUUGAGCUCCGUAUAUAGCUCAAUUGUUUUUUUUUUUUUUAAAUACACACAUUUAGUAUUAAAUUCGCACAAAUUGCUACUAAUAAAGUUAUAGUAGACAUUGUGGUAAUCCAAAUCCACUGACUUAACUUCCUUGAUCUGUAUCAACUGCGAAGGUUAAUUCAAGAUUCACGUCAAAUAAGACAUAGUAAACCGCUCCUAACCAGAAGGUUUCCAUUCUCUGAAGUUCUAGCUCAACAUUCCUAGUUAGAGGUGAAGAAAUCUCAACUAUUCCGCGAUUUGGUGGGGAAGGAUAAGCUUAGUAGUGAUUAUGUGGUUAUUUCUAAAUUAGAGCAUUAUGCUUGUGUGAUAGAUCUUUUAGGUUGUAAUGACUUAUAUUGGAUGAGCUUUUGAGCUUCCAUGUAAUGCAGUAGCACUUAAUCCAAAUAAUAUACUAGCAUUUACUCUCUCCAUGUUAAAUUAACUGUUCCAAAUUUUCUAAUUUGAUAUUUUGUUUUAUUUGUCUUUUUUCAUUAAUUAAGAAGAGAUAAUUUUUUUUCAUGUUUUACUCUUUGCAUUAAUUAUUUUUUUUUAAAUUAAAAUGUAAACAUCAUUUAUAGGGAUACUAUGAUAAACUAGAAAUGUUAUAAUUAUUUUUCUUAAUCAAUGUGUCAUCUUAACUUGGAAUGAAUAAUUUGAGACGAAGGGUGUAGUUUAUUUGCUUCGACUGGAAACUUGUUGCAAUUGAGGAAAAACUGAAGAAGAUAAGUCAAUACGUAUCAAAUUUUCAAAUAAAUCUUCACUGAACUUUUUUAUAGAAACUCUUUUUGACCAAACAAUCAAAGAAUAUUAUGGAUAUUUUUUAUUACUUAAUACCAAAUCAAGAAAGAAAUAAUGGAAGGACAAAAGGAAAAACAAGGCUAACGAAGCAAGAAGUCAUACCGAGUCUGUGGCUAGAAUCACCACACAUCAGUCAAAAAAGUGCGCUAGAUUUCUACAGAUCAAACCUUAGCCAAUUCUAACUUAUAAGAACCAAACAGUUUCUUGAUAAAUACACGUGUAAUCUUAUAACUGUUGGCAUUUCUGCUUAUGUGUAAAGCCAUAUCCACUGGCCCAUACUAUUAGGAAAACCACUAUGACAACAGUGAAAAAGCAUCCUACUCGUACUGGAUUGGCUCAAAAACUUCAUGUGGUCUACAUUUAACCACGUUCUCCAUAUAUAACACACAAUGAUUUCUCUCUUUAUACAUCAACCCUUUUAACUAUAUCCACUUAUCCAAUACAGAAGUGAUCAGAGAUCAGUUUGCAUCUGGUGCAACACUUUUUGGCUAAUAAACCAAGAAAUUCUCAAACCAAUAUGGAAGCUUGCUUUGUCACUUCAAAGCCUUUCUCAGAGAAACUCUUCCCUUUGUUAGGAUCAAGAACUUCUUAUUCUACAAGAAAAAGGUUAUCUGUUAGUCAGUUUCAUCAGCUCAAAAAAAUUGGCACUCCUUUGUCAGUUACAUGUAAGUACCCUGUUUCUUGUUCUCUUGCUUUUGUAUCUCAAUGGCUCUCCUGUAAUAUGAAAAUUUACACUUUAGAAAUUACAUAAAAAUGACUAUAUGUCACCAUAAUUCAUAAUUUAAAAUAUUUUAAAAGCCAUGAAACAAUUGUGAUCAAUCAAAAAUUCUAUUGACUUUUCAAAUAGUAAUUGUGUGAGUACUUUUUUCUUUUUGGGAAAAACUAUGCAAAGAAACAAAGUAUUGCACUAAAAUUUUGAGCAAUUUUCAUAUUAAGCUACAAAAAAUGGUAUUCUCUGAGAAACAUAUAAAAAGGAUAGCCUGAUUCACUAAAAAUCUUUCUAUGCGUGGUUCCGUGAGGGGCUGGAACACAAGGUCUGUUAUAGGAAGCCUAAACCAGCAUUUAUGCUAGAGGCUGUUUCCAUGGCGUGUGAUCUUCUGGUGACAAGACAAUAACUUUACCAAUAUAUAUUGAGAAAAUGUUGUACUUGUAGGUUGCCAAGCAAGCUCACCAUUCUCAUCACCUUCACCUCAAGAUGAAGAAAAACCUAUUGUUAAAAUGGACUGGCGAUCAUUUCGAGCUAGAUUAGUUGCCGGAGAACGACCUUCCCGGUUGGAAGAUCAUUCCUCCGUCGUCAAUCCCGACACCGUUGACGACCUUCCGCCACCUCCGGCAGUCACAAUUGGUAGCAAAUGGGCCCACACAAUUCACGAACCAGAAAAAGGUUGCUUGCUU
rnacentral:lncRNA from 1 species